rnacentral:tRNA from 2 species
CCAGAAAAAGGAGAUUCUAACUCCCACCUCUAACUCCCAAAGCCAGA